rnacentral:rRNA from 1 species
GGGGGGGGGGGGGGGGGGGGGUGGGGGGGGGGGGGGGGGGGGGGGGGCGCGGGGUGGGGGGGGGGCGCGGGUGGCGACCGGGGGGGGAGCGAGUGGGUGACGUGCCCGUGACUGUGGGAUACCGUCAGGAAACGGGGGCCCAUGCCUGCUAGGUGCUCCUGCGGCCUGGUGGUGGUGGGAAAGUUGCGUCGGUGGGAGAUGGACUCGCGGCUUAUCAGGUUGUUGGUGGGGGCGUGGCGUCCCAAGCCUUUUACGGGUAGCCGGCCUGAGAGGGUGACCGGCCACAUUGGGACUGAGAUACGGACCAGACUCCUACGGGAGGCAGCAGUGGGGAAUAUUGCACAAUGGGCGGAAGCCUGAUGCAGCAACGCCGCGUGCGGGAUGACGGCCUUCGGGUUGUAAACCGCUUUCGCCUGUGACGAAGCGUGAGUGACGGUAAUGGGUAAAGAAGCACCGGCUAACUACGUG